GACGAACGCUGGCGGCGUGCUUAACACAUGCAAGUCGAACGCAGAGGCUUUGUUCUUGCAGUGUGCUUGUGUGGGGAAAACGGGUGUAUAAUGUGUGUAUAAUCCCCCCGUCACUCGGAUAUCAUCCUGAGAAUCUGGCUCUUACAGGGUAUGCGCCACUGCUCUGCGGUGGGGGUUGGAGAGAUUCGGUGGUUGGGGAUGGACUCGCGGCUUAUCAGCUUGUUGGUGGGGUAGUGGCUUACCAAGGCAUUGACGGGUAGCCGGCCUGAGAGGGUGACCGGCCACACUGGGACUGAGAUACGGCCCAGACUCCUACGGGAGGCAGCAGUGGGGAAUAUUGCACAAUGGGCGGAAGCCUGAUGCAGCAACGCCGCGUGCGGGAUGACGGCCUUCGGGUUGUAAACCGCUUUCACCUCGGACGAAGCGAGAGUGACGGUAAGUGGUGAAGAAGCACCGGCUAACUACGUG
rnacentral:rRNA from 1 species